rnacentral:rRNA from 1 species
CACGUAUUUAGCCGUCACUUCUUCUUUUGGUACCGUCAUUUUUUUCUUCCCAACUGAAAGCACUUUACAUUCCGAAAAACGUCAUCGUGCACACAGAAUUGCUGGAUCAGACUUUUGGUCCAUUGUCCAAUAUUCCCCACUGCUGCCUCCCGUAGGAGUAAGGGCCGUGUCUCAGUCCCCUUGUGGCCGUUCACCCUCUCAGGCCGGCUACCCAUCAUCGCCUUGGUGAGCCGUUACCUCUCCAACUAGCUAAUGGGACGCAAAGCUCUCUCACAGCGCAUAUAGCUUUCAUAAUCUUAGGAUGCCCUAAAAUCAUAAUAUCAGGUAUUAGCAUUCGUUUCCAAAUGUUGUCCCUAACUGUGAGGCAAGUUCUUUACGCGUUACUCACCCGUCCGCCACCCAAACCGAAGUUCAAGUAGACUUGCAUGUGUUAAGCAUUCUGUCAGCGUUCAUCCUGAGCCAGGAUCAAACUCU